AAAUUGAAGAGUUUGAUCAUGGCUCAGAUUGAACGCUGGCGGCAGGCCUAACACAUGCAAGUCGAACGGUAACAGGAAGAAGCUUGCUUCUUUGCUGACGAGUGGCGGACGGGUGAGUAAUGUCUGGGAAACUGCCUGAUGGAGGGGGAUAACUACUGGAAACGGUAGCUAAUACCGCAUAACGUCGCAAGACCAAAGAGGGGGACCUUCGGGCCUCUUGCCAUCGGAUGUGCCCAGAUGGGAUUAGCUUGUUGGUGGGGUAACGGCUCACCAAGGCGACGAUCCCUAGCUGGUCUGAGAGGAUGACCAGCCACACUGGAACUGAGACACGGUCCAGACUCCUACGGGAGGCAGCAGUGGGGAAUAUUGCACAAUGGGCGCAAGCCUGAUGCAGCCAUGCCGCGUGUAUGAAGAAGGCCUUCGGGUUGUAAAGUACUUUCAGCGGGGAGGAAGGGAGUAAAGUUAAUACCUUUGCUC
rnacentral:rRNA from 1 species